rnacentral:rRNA from 1 species
UGGGGAAUCUUGGACAAUGGGGGCAACCCUGAUCCAGCCAUGCCGCGUGAGUGAUGAAGGCCUUAGGGUCGUAAAGCUCUUUCGCCUGUGAAGAUAAUGACGGUACCUACAGAAGAAGUUCCGGCUAACUUCGUGCCAGCAGCCGCGGUAAUACGAAGGGGGCAAGCGUUGUUCGGAAUUACUGGGCGUAAAGGGCGUGUAGGCGGUCUAAUCAGUCAGUGGUGAAAGCCCUGGGCUCAACCCAGGAAUUGCCUUUGAUACUGUUAGACUAGAGUUCGGGAGAGGAUAGUGGAAUUCCCAGUGUAGAGGUGAAAUUCGUAGAUAUUUGGAGGAACACCAGUGGCGAAGGCGGCUCACUGGCUCGAUACUGACGCUGAGGUGCGAAAGUGUGGGGAGCAAACAGGAUUAGAUACCCUGGUAGUCCACACCGUAAACGAUGAAUGCCAGUCGGUCGGGUAGCAUGCUAUUCGGUGACACACCUAACGGAUUAAGCAUUCCGCCUGGGGAGUACGGUCGC